rnacentral:lncRNA from 1 species
CAUGCACAAGAAAUUGCUAGUGAAUUUGAUCCUGCGAUCACUUCUUGGUUUGUAUGGGCAGUUUAUGGUAAACUACCAUAUGAAUGACCAUGAUAGCAUCAAAUCUGAAUAUAUUGAUAACUGUCGUAGGGAUCUUGAAAAAUUCGAGCACAUAUCUGAAGAGCCUAAAGAAACAAGGACAUGUCUUGAGAAGGCAUGUCAGAAUUGCUCAAAACUUAUCUUACGGUUACCUCUUCUCUC